GUUCGGGAAAGGGGGCAAGAAAACAGGUAUGACAGAAUGUUCCAUGUCACCCUCUUCAAAUCUACACCCCCAACAGCAGACAGGGUAUACACCUAGGGGCAAGAAGAUGGUUGGAUCACCGUUGCACAAGUUUUUAAAUAGGGUCCACCAGCCAGGCCUCAAAGCGGUCCAGCUCUGCAUCUGAUUCCAGGGGGAAUUGAAAUUCUCCGGACCACUCGAAGGCUGCUGGUUGGAGGCCAUUAUUGACCUUGGCCAUGAGCAGGUUCACGGUGGUGGCGAGUUGGGCAACUUGCUGCUUUAGGUUUUCCAAAAGCAAUAGGCCAUGUAGCUGAGCCGCUGAAACAUUGUGAAAGUUGAAAAAAAAGUGUUAAACUGGAGGAAAGACUCAGGUUAUUUUAAACAGAAUUGGUCCUGUUUCAUGGCCAACUCUGAAGGUUGGCUUGAAGAGGAGGUGACCUCCAGGCUCUCCACCAACGCUAGCUAAUUGAGGAAAGGUUCUGCAACAUCAUCUGUAUCUGGGACAUAACCAAUAUCUCUGGAAGGAAGUGUGGCUGCAGGUGUUUCCUGGCCGAUAUCAAUUAACCUUCUAUUAAGGUCCACCCUGGCUCUCCUCCUCAAAGCUGAACUGGAAACAGGUGUCUUGCGUCUAUUCAUUUUUUUACAUUUAGUUUGCAUCAUGUUUUCAGCAUCUGGAAAAAGAAAUGGAAAGUAUGUUAUAAGCUUGAUGGGUCAGAAGAGAUGGAUCGAGAUGAGGAGCCAUGCUCUACAUGUAAGUCCUCCUGUGAUGCCCAAACAUAGUGGUCAGACCCAAAGAUGGAGGACUACACCUAUUCAAAAGGGCCAACCAUCAUCUGCAGAGCGAGCACUACACAAUCCCCAUAAUUAUCAUGCCCUGUUGCAGUAUUUUGAAGAGUUAUGCAGACUCUCUCUUGUAUACAGGGAUUCCACUCAUUGCAUUUCACACCCUUGUAACCUGCCCACAAACAUUUGAUCCUACUUCUUUAUCCAUGCCUGCUGUGGACCAAAUCCUAAUGACCUUAAUGAAACUAAGCCUUCCUUGUGCCUGCAUUCCACUUCCUCUGCACAUGAUAUCCCUGUCUUUCCCUGUCUGACUGCAUUCUCAACCUACAUUAGAAAAUGUUUUGAGGUUCCUGUUGUUAUUAUUUUGUCUCUGUGAAUAUGAGUAUGAAUAUGAACAGAAAAUGAGUUCUCCAAUGGUCUUCAGAGACUUUAACUAUUGUUUUAUUUUAAAGCUACAAAUGUGUGUGUUUUACAUGUAAAUGUUUUGCAACGUGCUUGUGCAUCUGACUUUAAAAUAAAGUUUCACCUGAAAAACUAAAACCCAGGCCUGGUGAUGUGGAACUUUAAGGCUCUGACUGGAAAACGCUAGUUCCAGUUCAGUGACAGUACGCGCCGGAAGUCGCGCCUAUAAUUCGCGCAAAGUGUCAUCAUGGGGUGAAGGGUAGCAUCACAAAAUGU